CGGGACGUAGCGCAGCUUGGUAGCGCACCUCGUUCGGGACGAGGGGGUCGCAGGUUCAAAUCCUGUCGUCCCGA
rnacentral:tRNA from 1 species